rnacentral:rRNA from 1 species
AUGCAUGCAUGCAUGCAACGUACGUACUGCAUGCACCGUGAUCUAUGUCACGGUCACGGGUGGAUGCAGCCAUCGCCGAGUCCACCGGCACCACCUCCGAGUCCUCCACCGCCGAGCCCGCCGCCUCCACCGCCGAGCCCACCAAGGCCGCCUCCUCCACCGCCGACGCCACCAAGGCCGCCUCCUCCACCGCCGAGUCCACCAAGUCCGCCCGAGCCACCGCCAAGGCCACCAAGUCCACCGGAGCCGCCGCCCAGACCGCCGAGGCCACCUGCACCACCACCGCCGAGGCCACCGAGCCCGCCCGCGCCGCCAAGUCCUCCAACGCCACCGCCGGCCCCGCCUAGCCCACCGACGCCUCCCACGCCAGCGAGGCCACCUACGCCCCCGAUCCCUCCCACGCCGCCACCAACUCCUCCGAGGACGCCGCUGAUGCCACCCAUCGCUCCGCCCAGGCCUCCCACCCCGUCGGCGCCAGCGAAUCCCCCGACACCACCGCCGUACCCUCCGCCCAGGCCGCUGCCCAGGAAGGUCUUCUGGUCGCCGAGGCCGGCCGGUGCGGCCGCAGCCACGCCGACGCUCUUAGCACUCGUGGUCGUCAUUGCUGUUGUCGUCGUCGUCUUGGCGGUGGCGGUGGCCGGCGCGGCCACCACCGCAGCGACGCUCUUAGUAGUCGUGGUCGUUGCAGUUGUCUUUGCGGUCUUGGCGGUGGCGGUGGCAGGGAUGUCUCUCGCGUCAGCCGGUGCUAGCGGCGCCACCACAAGGAGGAGGGCGACGAGCAGGAAGCGGCACGCCAUUGCGGCAGUAACGGUGCUCCACCUCGCCAUCGGUCGAGCUAGCUAUCUUCCCAGCUAA